rnacentral:lncRNA from 1 species
AAUACAGAGUAUUUCAAAAUUCACAAAUUAAAAUACAGUAGCAAAAAAGUUGUGUUCUCGAAAAAUGAAGUAAAAUAACUAAUUGAAGAUUUCAUUUUAAUAAGUAGUUCUCCAGAUUUAAGCCCGUUUUUAACAACAUAGAUUAACUUUAAUCUCGGUUUAACUUAUUUUUUUAGUUUUUGAAACUAGAAUAAAAUAAUAAGUAAGACUCAGAAGGCUUAAGGGUGCCUUUUCAUGUUGACGUUUGACGCUCAUUUCAACGUCAAAAGACAUGUGACUAAAAAUGACGAAUUGGCAUCUUUAUUUUUGGUCACGUGAUGUCUUUUGACGCUGGAAAUGAGUGUCAAGUGGCAGCGUGAAAAGGCACCUUAAAGAGCUGAUCAAUCAUCGGAGAUUUAGACGCUCGCACGAUAAUAUUAACGAUUAUCUAAACGUAGUUCGUGACGGGCCGGCUUUUUAAACUUUUACCUAACUUUAACCUCGAAAACUACUAUUUCCAAAUUUACAAACAGCUAUUACCCUCAAUUUACCUACAACUUUCUUGCUGUGCGGUAUUUCGACUCCGCGAAUAUCCGAACAGCCUGUAUAUAUGUGUAACUGUGCAGAAGAAAAAGAAGUCGUAGACAGGUGUCGUUAUUGAAAACCGCGGCCUUCGGAAGAAUGACAAAUUCGCGUCGUCAUUUUUUGCUUUAGCGACGCUAGCGUAAAAUAAUAACGACGACGUUAAAAUAACGACGGCGCAUCGAGGAGGACCGUCGGGUGAGUCAUCUUGUUUACGAAACCCCGGGAAACUCGUGGAAACGUGCAUUCCACCGAAAGAAAAAAAGGGACGGGGAAAAAUAGGAGGGUGGAUAUAUGAGACGGUUAGUGACCCCUGGCGUGUCAGCGACGAUGCGGGACGAACUCGCGACGACGCGCACUCCGUUUCUAUCUUUCUCUCUCUCUCUCUCCCUCCGAGAUUGAUUAAAUUUACUCCGGAAGAGAGAGAUAAUACGGCAAUUAUUGCCCCGGCUGAUUCGCGCGUCGGGCCGCGCCGCAGCGCACAAAGGCCACGCUGUGCGCCUCUCCCGACGCGACGUCGGAUCCAUUAAGGAAAAAUUCCGUAGGACGACAGCACGCAGCAGCCAGCCAGCCAGCAGCGGAGGAUCAGAAUGAGUCUUCCUUUAUGUCUCUCUUUUACGAAGAGAUACGGAAAGAAGAUCAGAUACAUCUACAAAAGAAGGGUGUGUCAAAUACAAUCAACCCAAAUACUACUCUGCGAUCAAUAACGGGGACGAAAAAGUAACGGAAAAAUCGAGGAAAUUUCCCGGUGGGCAAGUCAGGCGACAGAUCAACGGGAUUGAGGGAGCGACGAAUGCUUUCAGGGAGUGAUGCGCAGAAGCAUCAAUAAAAGUAUAUUAGAUAAUAGCAUUCGUUUCCUCUCUUUCUCACUCUUAUUUCCUAAUGUUGCACUCGGAGAAGAAUUCAUAGUGGUGACUAUACAAGUUCUAUUCGUAGAAUUAAUGUACAUAAGCUAUUUUAUAGUUAUUGCAACGAAAGUUUCAGUUGCAAUAAUUGUAAAAUAGUUGGCAUCAUCACAGCAACGAUAUUUGUGCAACUAUAUUAAUUUAUUGUGAAAUGGUACCUCAAAUAUAAUUGCAUAGUUAUAGACUAUUGCUAGAUCUAUUGCUAGACUUCAUAUUAAAUAAGUUAUGACAAUUCUAUUCUCUUUCAACUUACGUAUGACGGAUUAAGUAUAUAGAUCAAGAGACCAAUUAUAUAUAGAUUAGUGUAAUAUCCUGAAUGCUUAGAGGUCAAAUCUCGGUGAAUAAAUUUUUCUGUCAUCUAUAUGUGUAUUACUAUAUAUUUCUAUAGUUCGUUGAUUUACUGCAAAUAAAUAAUAUUCUGUUAGUUCAUGUAACUAAUUAUUGUUAGUGUUACAAAAUUAUAUAUAUAUAUAAUACAUAAAGUGCCAUUUAUUCAUAAAUUUAUUCAUAAAUUGUUGGUGUUAUUUUUUUUUCUGGAUGUGGAACGAUAUUGUUGGCACAUCUAAAGUAGAAUGACGCAUAACGUAGUCUAUAAUCUAAAAAUGCCGCACCGAAACCCAAACUUUUAUUCAAGUUUCAACUGCAUGCGUUCAAAUUGCAUGAAAUUUAUCUCGGACAGCUAGCGUAUCAUAUUCAACCACGGUCGAUUUAUGAUAACUCGUUUAGCGGGUUGACUAAUCGUCAUUGAAGGCAGUUAAAUGAGGUCGUUGACGUCUCACCUUCGUGAUAAAAGGAUUGUUAAACUUAUUACGGACAUUGAGUCGAGAUGUUUCGUAUUACCCGCAUCAUUAGAUCAGGAUGUCGAGAAAUUAUAUUGUAUGGGAUUUAUUUUGGUAGCGUAUGAUUGAGGUCUAUUCCAAAGAUUCCGCUUACAAAAAUUGAUUUAGAAUAAUAAUUUUAAUUUGAAAAAAAUCAAAAUAAUCUAAAACUAAAUUCAUUGUUUUAUCACAAUAAUAUAACAUACAUAUCUAUUUAUUUCUCUGGUGGGUUUGAUUAACAUUAUACACAACUAAACUUUUUUUAUUAAAAAAACUGAUAUAACAAUACGGACAUAAUAAUCAUAUUUUUUCAAACUAAAUUUUAUUCUCUCUCUAAGUUUAUUUUUUAUUACUGAAAACACCGUUAAAAGUCAAAAUUUGUUUCAAUUGUAUGAAAAGUGACAGAAAUAAACAAGAAAUUCAAUUGAAAAGCAUUAAAAGGUAUAAUGUAUAUUAUUGUCAUUUAUAUGUCCGACGCGUAUAUCGGACAUAUAAAUGACCGAUAUACGUGUCAGAAUUCUCGAUGCCAUAGAUAUUAAUAUACUAAUUGCAUUAGUGAUAUCUUGUAAUAAUAUCCGAACACUUACGCAAAAACUUUAUAUUAUUAUUAUUAAUCUUUGUCUUUCUCAAAUAUUUUUAUAAUAUUAAAAUUUAAUUGUAAUCUUCUAUUAAAUUAUAUCUUCUAAUUUUAUAAUUCAUAAAUAUAUUGUUUAACAUGUCGCGCGAUUUAUUCGAAGCACAGAACGCAUAUAAUUGACAUGACUGAUUUUGUAAUUUGUCCAUAUCGCAACAUGGAUGUUACGCUAAAACACGAUAUACGAUAAUCUAUUAAGCUGAUUAUUCACAGAUAAUCAUAAUACAGGAUGGUAAAAACAGGCAAACAGGUUUCAUUUAUUUUGCGAUUAAUUCAAAUUUUGGAAAGCUUUUUAUGCUAAAAAUAAGAUUAUCUCGAAAAAUGACACAAAUUAAGAUUACUGUAACACAAUUUAUAGUUUCAUAAGAUCAUAGAUAAAGUCAGAGUUCAGGAGAUAUUUACAUUUCUAUUUUUAUUUUUUCAUAUCGUAAAUUUUAAUAAUUUUAGAUAUAUGUAUAUGUGUGCGUGCGUGUUGUAUUUAUUCUGAUUAUUCUUCCAUUAUCUUUUCAUAUUACUAUAAAAUUAUAAAUAGGAUGUAUAUCUAAGAUUCUUAAUAUACGACUUUAAUUAUAUAAAAUCAUAAAUAGAACUUUAACUUGAAAUCCAACAAAAAUUGUAGAUCUAAAAUUAGUUUUAAUCUAUUAAUUCUACCUCUUUUUUUAUAAAUCGCAAAAUCUAAAAAGCGCUACUGAAAUAGUAAUAAGGCUCAACAUUUGUUUUAGACUUAUCUUUAUUAAUAUAACGACAAUGUAAACUCCGGUAUAUGUCGCGAAUAAUUUUUUUUUGUAUCUUUCCUUUUUUAUAUAUAGCGAUUGAUAUAUUGAAAUUUCUCGAUUUAUUAUUAUAGUGUGUGAAGAAAGUCCCAACACUGGGUCAAAACAUUCAACUAAAGCGAAUUAUUUCUACUAUACUAUAUCGUUUGCGCAUCGAUAUUUGCAUAUUGUUCUUACUGCCUUUAUCAGACGAAUAUACCUCUGUAACAAAU